rnacentral:lncRNA from 1 species
AUUGAAGUAGUGAUUGACACUGCAUUGCCAUGUUGUUUAAAAUAACCUGCCUGCGUGUUAUAAAUACGCUGUAUACCAGAACAUGAACUCCCCAAGAACAGACUCCUGCCUUCUUCCCUGUUCUAUUCCCGGAGCAAGAACAGGGCUCCAUUCAGAAUAGUCUCUCAGUAAAUAGUUGUUAAAGACAUGCUCUUUUAAACAUUUUUGUUAAAUUUUGUACUCCUAAGAGGAGCUGCCUAAAUGAGCAGUAUGUAUCAUACAUUCAUUCCUCAAAGAAUCCCAAAUAUCAUUUUACACACACUAGGAAAGUAUAAAACCCAUUGGCCUAUUGGACAGGGCCAGUCCUAGAGGAUGACUGGCCAGGCAUUUAGAUGGCUUGUUGGUUUCCUGCUCUUUUCAAAGGAGAACUUUACUAGACAGACCAGUGACCAGCUAACCUGGGCACAGAGAACCUGUGCACUUCUGCCAGGCACAGAGCUUUGGCCCUUCCUCCUUCUAUUUUCCAUUAGAAAAUUUUUGUGGGGCAAGCAAGAACUGGAACAUGGGGAAGAGAGUCUUUGGUCUGAUCAAAAAGCUGGGGCUAUAGCUCAGUGGUAGAGCACCCCAGGGUUCAAACUCCAGUACUGAAAAAAAAAAUUUAUUUUUAAUUUCAAUGAUAAAAUAUAAUUUAGAAAACUUGAUAGGAAAGCCUAUUGUAUUUGCCCAUAUUGUCCUUAUUAUUUCUUUCCUGUUUUCUG